AGCGACCGGGCUACACAGGUGAUGAAGGGGGGAACUGCAUCCUGGGAUCCGCAGUUUCGCCUGUCCACCCGCCAAAUCCUAAGAGUGGCUGAGCGCAGUUAUUGGGGAGUGGUAGAAACAGGGUUUCACCAUGUUGGCCAUGCUGGUCUCGAACUCCAGAACUCAAGUGAUCCGUCCGCCUCGGUCUUCCAAACUGCUGGGAUUACAGGCGUGAGCCACCGCGCCCAGCCUUUGGGGAAGUUCUUUUUACCGUCCAUCAUCCAUUGCCACCACACCUUCUGCUUACGAGUUAUUUAUAAUAAGUUUAACUAAAAGAGAACGAGAGAACAUCCCCUGAAACCCAAAGUUUGUCAUUCUAUACAGCUUUCCUGCCUGCAAAAGAGGAGGAGCAGACUCAUCCAGCAAAUCACCUAAAAAGUUUGAAGAUCAAAAAGCCUAGCUCCAGUUUCAGAUCCUUCCCCUACCUUUCUGAACACUAGUUUCUUCCUCUGAAAAACGAAAGAGGGAACGGGACCGUAGAGUGGAGUGGGCACAAGAAUCGCAAGUCCCUUCUGGCUAUGACGCUGCAAGACUCUAGGUACAGUUUAGGACUCCGGGCAUUCAGAUCCCCGGGACUUGUCAAGUUCUCCUCAUUGACAUUUUUGAUAUUUCGUGACAACACAAAUUCAUCACAUUUUUGUGCUGUGUGUUAUAUGUGGGAAGGAGAUUUUAAAAAGAUUGCCUUUUGAAGUUAUUGGAUAGCUGUGUUACAGAAGAAAACAUUGCCUUCAAGAAGUUAUUGGAUAGAUAUGUUACAGAAGAAAAGACGUUUGUUUCAUUUUUGACUUUGCAGGAAAAGAAUAUGUAACACAUCAGAAUUCUUCUCUCCUCCCUGGCCUUAGUCGAGUACCUGAGGGGCAUUAAAGCACUUCCUCCUUGCAAUCACUUACCCAGCAUAGUCCUUAAUACAGAUAUCUUCAUUGUUGAAUGAAUG
rnacentral:lncRNA from 1 species